UACGAAGGGGGCUAGCGUUGUUCGGAAUUACUGGGCGUAAAGCGCGCGCAGGCGGUCUUCCAAGUCAGUGGUGAAAGCCCGGAGCUCAACUCCGGAACUGCCAUUGAAACUGUUGGACUUGAGUACGAGAGAGGUGAGUGGAAUUCCCAGUGUAGAGGUGAAAUUCGUAGAUAUUGGGAAGAACACCGGUGGCGAAGGCGGCUCACUGGCUCGUAACUGACGCUCAGGCGCGACAGCGUGGGGAGCAAACAGG
rnacentral:rRNA from 1 species